CUUAACUUGCAUUUGGACAAAUUGUGUAAUUAUCAGGUAAAAUAAUAAUGUAAUCGUCUGUAAUGGCCUUUGUGGUGUCGAGAUCUCGAGGUUGGAAAGAGGCAAUACACAGGGACAACUCUGGAGGCAGAUAUUUAUAUUUAUUUCAUACAAUAACAUUAAAUAAAAAAAGUUAAAUACGCAAACACACAAAGGUAAAUUAGCUAUAUGACUCCUUGACCUGUGUAAAUGUCAGAUAAAUUGUAUUAUUAUUCUCCUGCACGAUAUUGUUUAUGUAUUAAGAAGACAUUGUAGUCCUGCAGUGCCAUCUUGUGGUCUGUUCCGCUUUUAUUUUGUUAAGCGAGCGUUUCUUCUUCUUCUGCGGUUUUUCUGACGCCGAACUUCCUGUUUCUUUGUCUAAACAACGUAGUGCUCACGCAUCGUCGGAGAAACGCUCCGAGCAGCGGCGUGUGUGUGUGUGAGCUGGAGAGCAUGCUAGCGGAUGGCUAACACUUAAAUUAGCGCCCUUGGAACGGCGGAAUGAGUUUUCACGGUGCUUAUGGUACACGGCGCUGGUCGAGAGUGAGAAUAAAUCAACACCCGUUUGAAACUCUCUGCGUCUUGCUGAAUGAAUCCAAGGGGCCGCUACAACCUGCAUAAAUACAAAUGUUUAUAAUGUUAUAAAACAUACAGCCUUUUCCGUGCAGCCUCCGGCUCUGCAGACACAUACUAUUGGAAUAUUUUGAGUGAAAUCAUCCUUUAAAAUUGUAAGUUCUGCAUUUCAACCGAAAGUUGUGCACUACAGUGACCAUCUAUUGUAGUAACUUUUAAAAAAUGCUCGAAAUGUGCAGCCCUCUCGGUGCAGCCUCUGGCUCUGCAGACAUACCCUUCUCCCGGUCCGUGGGGCUCUCUGCAGCUGCUGAUCAGUGGAUUGGUCGCGGCUGUGAGAGUCCCACACCUGUAGCGCAUUCCCAUCUGCUGCUAUAAAGACCGGCUUCACACGGCAGGGGACGUGGGACCAUACUGCCUUGUCUCCAGCCUAUAAGACGACGCCGCAGCGCUGAAGCAGCAGCGUGUUUCCCCCGCUGUCCUUUGUGGAAGGAUGAGGACCCCUGACGCCCUAGUCGAAAGAAGGCGUGGACCUCCCCCUCCUCCCUGGACUUCCCGAUUGGGCGGCGUGAGCCCUGGACUGUUGCUCACCUGGAGCCUGACUUCCCCCCUCCCUGAACAUUGUGAGUUCUGGCCAUAGCUGGCAUUGUUGCUGUUCAUGAAUUUGUUUUCGUGAAUAAAGACCUGUUUCAGUUGCCGUCCUGCCUACCACCUGCUCUGUGUGCACUCACCUUGGGUUCAAAUCCCCCGCAUACCUUAACAGUCUCAGUCAUUAAAUUUGUGUGUCCCUGUAUAGUUUCU
ensembl:lncRNA